UAUUCAUUUGACCUCAUUACGUCAUCUAAUUUAUUCAUUCUGAAACUUUUCUUUCCACACACAAAAUGGACCUACGAACACUCCGGUUGAGUUUGAAGAACAAGAAAAACAGUAGAGGUCUACCUAUAUGGUUCAAGAUGAUGAUCAUAAGUGCAUGCAUCAUUUUGCAGAUUCUCAUCCAGGAUGAUGCAGUUUUACAAUUUCCAUGGAGGUGAUUGAUGAUGAUAAACAAUUGGUGAAGUAGGCCUAAUAGAACAGUGAUAGGACC